AAACUUAUAAUUUUAUUCUAAAA
rnacentral:snRNA from 1 species